GAUGAACGCUGGCGGCGUGCCUAAUGCAUGCAAGUCGAGCGAACGGACGAGAAGCUUGCUUCUCUGAUGUUAGCGGCGGACGGGUGAGUAACACGUGGAUAACCUACCUAUAAGACUGGGAUAACUUCGGGAAACCGUAGCUAAUACCGGAUAAUAUUUUGAACCGCAUGGUUCAAAAGUGAAAGACGGUCUUGCUGUCACUUAUAGAUGGAUCCGCGCUGCAUUAGCUAGUUGGUAGGGUAACGGCUUACCAAGGCAACGAUGCAUAGCCGACCUGAGAGGGUGAUCGGCCACACUGGAACUGAGACACGGUCCAGACUCCUACGGGAGGCAGCAGUAGGGAAUCUUCCGCAAUGGGCGAAAGCCUGACGGAGCAACGCCGCGUGAGUGAUGAAGGUCUUCGGAUCGUAAAACUCUGUUAUUAGGGAAGAACAUAUGUGUAAGUAACUGUGCACAUCUUGACGGUACCUAAUCAGAAAGCCACGGCUAACUACGUG
rnacentral:rRNA from 1 species